rnacentral:lncRNA from 1 species
AAGUGAUAUCUGUAAUAGUAAUUAAAUACUGAUGGUAAGAACACACUAAACAAUAGAUUUUUCUUUUAGCUGAUCUAUAGUUCACAUGCUAAUUGAAUAACUGGAAUGCAAUCAUGUUAGACAUUAACCUUUAUUUAGGUCAAUUAACAUUCACAUAAAUUACAUCCAUACCACCGUUUACAUUAAAAAAUAAAUUAACUUAACAUAAAAGAU